UACGUAGGGUCCGAGCGUUGUCCGGAAUUAUUGGGCGUAAAGGGCUCGUAGGCGGUCUGUUGCGUCAGGAGUGAAAACUCGGGGCUUAACCCCGAGCCUGCUUCUGAUACGGGCAGACUAGAGGUAUGCAGGGGAGAACGGAAUUCCUGGUGUAGCGGUGAAAUGCGCAGAUAUCAGGAGGAACACCGGUGGCGAAGGCGGUUCUCUGGGCAUUACCUGACGCUGAGGAGCGAAAGUGUGGGAGGCGAACAGG
rnacentral:rRNA from 1 species